rnacentral:rRNA from 1 species
UACGAAGGGGGCUAGCGUUGCUCGGAUUUACUGGGCGUAAAGGGCGCCGUAGGCGGAUGUUUAAGUCGGGGGGUGGAAAGCCCAGGGCUCAACCCUGGAACUGCCUUCGAUACUGGACAUCUUGAGUACGGGAGAGGUGAGUGGAACUCCGAGUGUAGAGGUGAAAUUCGUAGAUAUUCGGAAGAACACCAGUGGCGAAGGCGGCUCACUGGCUCGGAACU